AGCCAGACUCCUACGGGAGGCAGCAGUGGGGAAUAUUGCACAAUGGGCGAAAGCCUGAUGCAGCAACGCCGCGUGAAGGAAGAAGGGUUUCGGCUCGUAAACUUCUAUCAACAGGGACGAAAGAAAUGACGGUACCUGACUAAGAAGCACCGGCUAAAUACGUGCCAGCAACCGCGGUAAUACGUAUGGUGCAAGCGUUAUCCGGAUUUACUGGGUGUAAAGGGAGCGCAGGCGGCACGCUAAGCCUGAUGUGAAAACCCGCGGCCCAACCGCGGGAGUGCAUUGGGAACUGGCGGGCUGGAGUACCGGAGGGGCAGGCGGAAUUCCUAGUGUAGCGGUGAAAUGCGUAGAUAUUAGGAGGAACACCAGUGGCGAAGGCGGCCUGCUGGACGGAGACUGACGCUGAGGCUCGAAAGCGUGGGGAGCAAACAGGAUUAGAUACCCCCGUACA
rnacentral:rRNA from 1 species